UUUCCCAGUUAAAAAUAUUUAUGUAAUUUGUUUUUAUUUACUAUUUAUUUUAUUUUAUAAUAAAUAUAUGAUUUAAGGCCGUGGUUUUCAACACUUGAAGGAACACGUCUCAUAGAGAGGCAAUUUGAUUUUUAAAGGGAAGCAAUUCGAGAAUGAGUUAUUAAUAGCUUCCUCCACGUAAAUAGAAGUUCACUUUUUGAAUAAGAAGAAUUAUGUGUCAAAGGAGUUGGGGACAUCAGAAUUUUAGAGAUGCUUAAGUAGGUCAUGGUUAAAAUAGGAACCAUCGAUAUAAUGGAUAAUAAUUUUAGAAAUUGAUUUUCGUACAACUUAUCUUCGCUUUGAAAUGAAAGUGAACGCAAUAGUAGUACUAUUUGUAAGUUACUUUGUAGUCAAUCGAGACUCACCGAGUGUAGUUUAUAUUUUAUGUUAGGCACAUAGUUUAGUAAUCUCGACGUCAAGGCGAAGCAAACAUUUAGGGACACUUGGAAAGCAUUACUUCUAUUUCGUAUGAACAAACGAAAAUAUAUUAUUCGAUUUAAAAGGAGACACAACAUAUUUUUAUAUAUAUGCAUUAUAUAUAUAUUUUCUUUUUAAACGUAACUUGAAUAUUUUUAUUUACGUGGAACAAAUCAAAGCACCGCGCUCUUACAUUUGAUAUUAAUUAUUAAAAUGAUAAAUUGAAAAAAAUUGUUGUUUAAUUUUAAUUAUUUAUUUAAUUACAAGUAACAUAAAAACAUCGCGUUUAUUGGGAAAGGUAGGCAGGGGUAAAGCAUUUAUGAGAAUGCAAAGUAAUACGUGUCAAGUCUAACGAGGCGCGUCAGGUCUCGUCUUGUUGUGGAAUGCAGAAGGUUGUGUGUGAGAGAAAGAAAGAAAGAGAGAAAAGAGAGAGGGUUAGAGAA
rnacentral:lncRNA from 1 species